CCAGACAUUCUCUGACGUAAACCACAGCAAUAUUUUCUCAGAUCCACCUAGAGUAAUGACAAUGGGAUAGAUUGGGAGCUUGGGGUUAAUAGAUGCAGACUAUUGCCUUUGAAAUGAUUGGCAAUGAGACCCUUCUAUGUAGCACUGGGAACUAUGUCUAGUCACUUAUGUUGGAGCAUGAUAAUGUGAGAAAAAAUAAUGUAUGCAUGCAUGUGUAACUGGGUCACCAUGCUGUACAGUAGAAAAAAAAUGAUGUAUUGGGGAAAUAAAAAAAUAAAAAUAAAAUAAAAAAACAAAAAUAAACAAAAGGGGCAUAAUUAAAAGUUUUUGCAUAAAAAAGGAAAGCAUAAACAAGACAAAAAGACAACCCACAGAAUGAGAGAAAAUAUUUGCAAAUGAAGCAACUGGCAAGGGAUUAAUCACCAAAAUAUAUAAACAUAUCCUGCAGCUCAGUAUAAAAAACAAAAACGAAAAAAAUAUAUAAACAGCCCCAUCAAAAAAUGGGCAGAAAAUCUAAACAGACAUUUCUCCAAAGAAGGCAUACAAAUGGCCAAAAAACACAUAAAAAGAGUCUCAACAUCACUAAUUAUUUGAGAAAUGCCAAUCAAAACUACUGCAAAGUACCACCUAACACCAGCCAGAAUGACCAUCAUCAAAAAGUCUACAAACAAUAAAUACUAGAGAGGGUGUGGAGGAAAGGGAACCCUCUUACACUGUUGGUGGGAAUGUAAAUCAGUGCAACCACUAUGGAAAACAGUAUGGAGAUUCCUUGGAAUACUAAAAAUAGAAUUACCGUAUGAUCCUAUAAUCUAACUCCUGGGCAUCUAUCUAGAAAAAAGCAUAACUGAAAAAUAUACAUGUACCCCAGUGUUCAUUGUAGUACUAUAUAUACAAUAGCCAAGACAUGUGCACAACCUAAAUGUUCAUCAACAGAGGAGUGGAUAAAGAUGUGAUGCAUAUAGAUAAUGGAAUAUUACUCAGCCUUAAAAAAGAAUGAAAUGUCAUUUGCAGCAACAUGGAUGGACCUAGAAAUUAUCAUGCUAAGUAAAGUUAGUCAGACAGUGAGAGACAAAUAUAUGCUAUCAUUUAUAUGUGGAAUCUUUAAAAAGGAUACAAUGAACUUCUUUGCAGAACAGAAAUACACGGGUAUUGAAAAGUUUACAGUUGCUAAAAGGGACAGAUUUGGGGGAAGGGAUGGAUUGGGGGUUUGGGAUGGAAUUGUUCUAAAAUUAGAUGGUGAUGAUGGUUGUAUAACUGUAAAUAUGAUAAAAUUCAUUGAAGUUUUGAAAAUGAAGGGAUCAUAUUGCUUUAAACAAGUUAAGGCAGUAGGAAAGCAAAGGAGAAUUUUUAUUUUUUUUUAAUGGCUGCACCCAUGGCAUAUGGAAGUUCCUGGGUCAGGAAUUGAAUCUUUGCUGCAGCUGCAACCUAUGCUGAAGCUGCAAAAAUGCUGAUCCAUUAACCCACUGGAAUGGCCUAAGGAUCGAACCCAUACCUCUGCAGAAAUCUGAGCCACUGCAGUAGGAUUCUUAACCCACUUCACCAAAGAAGAAAUUCCUCAGAGGAAAAUUUGAAUGCUUAAGGUAUAAGUUGAACAUAUUUGACCUGAUAUAAGGGAGAGAGAAUACUUAAUUCAAAUCCACAAAUUUGGUAGUUCCCAUUGUGGCUCCAUGGGUUAAGAACCCAACUAGUAUCUGAGGAUGUGGGUUCAAUCCCUGGCCUUGCUCACUGGGUUAAGGGAUCCAGCACUGCUGAGAGCUGUGGUGUAUUUCACAUAUGUGGCUUGGAUCUGGCAUGGCUGUGAUGUAGGUUUGCAGGUGCAGCUCGGAUUCAGCUCUUAGCCUGGGAACAUCCACAUGCCAUAGGUACAACGUAAAAAGAAGAAAAAAAUUUUAAAAAAUUCCCCCAGUUUUCUGAACUCUGCAAGGUUAACUCUUUUGGAAAAAACUGUUAACACAUCGGGUUUUGAAAUUUCAAAAAAUAUUUACCUUGGAAGAACAAUUCAGAUACUGUUUUCUCUUCUAAAAAAAUAAGAUAGUUGAUUCAGAAUAAUAGCUUAAAGUCUUUUCCAGUUCUAUAUUUAUCUAAAUCAGAGUUACCUAAAACUUAAAUUUUAAAAUCCUGUGUCAUCCAAAAUACUUUUUUCCCAGUGCGUUUAAAGGUAAGAAGGAUGUAUAAAACAUGUCUUGGAGUUCCCUUCAUGGCACAGCAGGAACAAAUCUGAUUAGGAACCACGAGGUUGCGGGUUUGAUCUCUGGCCUUUCUCAGUGGGUUAAGGAUUCAGCAUUGCCAUGAGCUGUGGUGUAGGUAACCAGAGGUGGCUUGGAACCUACAUUGCUGUGGCUGUGGCCUAGGCCAGUAGCCGUAACUCUGAUUAGACCCCUAGCCUGGGAACUUCCAUAUGCCGCAAGUGUGGUCCUAAAAAGACCAAAAAAUAAAUAAAUAAAUAAAAAUAAAACAUGUCUCACAUGCUGUGUAAGUCUGUGGGAAUGACUUAACUAGUUUAAUUUUUUUCCCUAAAACAUUGUAAAUUGACAAAUCACUUAAAAGUAUCAUUACAAUUAAUUAUAAAAUAAUUUUAAUGAAUUCAGAAGAAGUGAAUGUCUUUGCACAAUAUCCUUGAAAUUGCUGUAGUUUUUGGAAAGCCUGCUCAAAAUAGUUUGAACACAUUUAGCAAAAGAUAGAAAAGAAAUAGGAUUUUACGUUUGAGACCUCUUAACUAUCCCCAGAACAAGAGAUUUUCACAGAGUCAAACAUUUGGAGAUAAUUCUACAAAUAGGACAUUUUAUCUGAUUAAGCUGAUUAACUCUCAGUGAAGCCCACGAAUUGACAAAGUCCUACCCACACACUUUCUUUUGGUGCUUCAUUCUUAAUAUGAGUGAAUAUCCAACAGUUCACCCCAGUAAUUGUCCAGGAAAACCUCCAACACGAAAAACAUACUAAACCUAAAUAAAUGGUAUAAUGGGAUCCAGAGGAAACUAACAAUGAAGAGGUAGCCAGACAAUUAAAAUACG
rnacentral:lncRNA from 1 species